rnacentral:rRNA from 1 species
UACGUAGGGUGCGAGCGUUGUCCGGAAUUACUGGGCGUAAAGAGCUCGUAGGUGGUUUGUCGCGUUGUUCGUGAAAACCGGGGGCUUAACCCUCGGCGUGCGGGCGAUACGGGCAGACUAGAGUGUGGCAGGGGAGACUGGAAUUCCUGGUAUAGCGGUGAAAUGCGCAGAUAUCAGGAGGAACACCGGUGGCGAAGGCGGGUCUCUGGGCCAAUACUGACGCUGAGGAGCGAAAGCGUGGGGAGCGAACAGG